UAGGGAAUAUUGGACAAUGGGUGAGAGCCUGAUCCAGCCAUGCCGCGUGCAGGAAGAAGGCGUUAUGCGUUGUAAACUUCGAAAGAAUAGGAAGAAUAAAUGACGGUACUAUUUAUAAGGUCCGGCUAACUACGUGCCAGCAGCCGCGGUAAUACGUAGGGACCAAGCGUUGUUCGGAUUCACUGGGCUUAAAGGGUGCGUAGGCAGCUUGUUAAGUAGGGUGUGAAAGCCCCCAGCUCAACUGGGGAACUGCAUUCUAUACUGGUGAGCUAGAGUGAGAUAGGGGUGUGUGGAACUGCCAGUGGAGCGGUGAAAUGUGUUGAUAUUGGCAGGAACGCCGGUGGCGAAAGCGACACACUGGGUCUCAACUGACGCUGAGGCACGAAAGCCAGGGGAGCGAACGGGAUUAGAUACCCUUGUAGUCCCUGAGCGGGCUGGCA
rnacentral:rRNA from 1 species